rnacentral:lncRNA from 1 species
AAGAAAACAAUAAUGAAACAAGUGUAACAAAAUGUAAUGGAAGCAUAUAAAGUCUUUAAUAAUGAAUUUAGAGACAAUAAAUACACAUGUAAGUGACCAAAUAAAGAAUAGAAAAAUUAAAAACCACAUGUCAUUGACUAAGUAAGUAAUUGACACAAUUUAAAAUAUAAUACCACCCUUAAAUUUGGAAUAGAUAAUAAUAAACAUGCAAAUUAAAUAACAAUAAUGAAUGAGAAUAACUUACUAUGAACUUGUGGGGAAAUUGAGGUUGAUAGAUGUUGAGAAAAAUAUGAGCAUUAUGUUUUGUUUUGGAGAGAUGUUGAGAAACAAGAGACGGCAUGGGACCAUUUGAUUUUAUUUGUAUAUAUAGAAAUAUGACUACAACUAAUUAGUUAGGUGAGUGGUUGAAUGGUGGGGUGAAUGAGUAGGUUGAAACGUGGUGAAUAGUUGAAAAGUUGAAACUUGAAAACCAGCUCGCAAGUAGUGUAUUAUAUAUAUUAGAUUACAUAGGUUAUAAUCACAAACUUAUGACCAGCGUGGUGGUUGAGAGACUUCAAAUUUCGGAGGGGAGCUGGGUUCGAGCCCCAGCGUGCGCAAGAGUGAGUGAGUUUAAGUGUUUAAUUUUUGAAAGUUCAUAUCGCGAUAUUAUCGAUAAUAUCGCGAUAUAUUGACCAUUUGAAGUUGCCAAUUGAACGAAAAUAUCGUAGCCGAAAUAUCGUCGAAAUUAUCGCGGAAAUUAUCGAUAUAUUGACGAUAUAUGAAUGGAUUUGUGCGAAAAUAUCGCUGGACAAAAAAAACGAUAAUUUCGCCUAUAUUUCGGCGAAAUUAUCGAUUUUAAAUACCUUGAUUAGGAUACACUAGGGGCGGAUAAAGUAUUGGCCCCUAUUAAUGUUGUUUGGGGCGGAUAGAAAGGCCUCUAAGGACACCUCCAACGUAGGCCCUUUUUUAGGGGUUUGGACCUCCAGUGCGUGCCAAGCAGUUCGGGUAAGUUCUGGGUUCCACCAGCCCGAGCAAGCUUAAAUAUUGAUUCUGCCUGGGCUUCAGUCCGAAGGCGCUGACGUCAGCGAGCAAAAAAAAAAAAUUAAAAAAAUUGAAAAAAAAUUGGAAAAAAUAAAACCAAAAAACAAAAAAUUAUGAAUGUUUUCCCUAUAAAUACAUAACAAUUUUAUUCACUUUCCCUAUAAAUACAUAACAAAUUUAUAUUUUGUUGCAUAUUCUUUUUUUUUCUUGCCCUUGCCCUAGCCUUUUGGAGUGGAACCAAAAAAUGCAAGGCUGCCACUAUUCAUGUGAAUAGUAGCAACCCUUGCCUUGCCUUAGCCUUAGCCUUAGCCUUUUGGGGUGGACAUGCUCUAAUAGGUGGGUGUGAAACACCUAUCAUUUAAAUUGAUAAGGGGCGUAAAUAAGCGCCCCUAAUAGUUUUUUUUUUAUUUUUAUGAAAAGGAAUUUCAUUCAAUAACCAGAUAGCAUAAUACACGGAGAAGAAAACAAAAGGAUGUGCAAGUUUGGGCCUCUGUAAAAAACUUUUAGCAUAAAAAACCUCCAAAAAAGGGGGAAAAUCCGCCAAAGGAAAAAGAGCACCUCUCACUUGCCAUCAAACAUAAAGAUCAACCAUUAGCUUCUAGAUUUGCAGAAAGAAAAGGAGUUAGCCAUAAUGGCUCCUCCUCAAUCCAUGUGAAAAAACUAGCAUUCCGAGUGCCAUAUUGAGCUAGCUCAUGGGCAACCUUGUUACCUUCUCGUCAUUGCCAAUUACAAGAGAAAGAUCUAAACCACCCCUGCAUCUCCUUGAUAUCUUCCACUAGAUUCCCUUCAGCUUCAAAACACUCUUCAUUAGAGUUGAUUCUAUCUACCACCCCCUGCGCAUCCAUUUCUAGCACUAUGUCACUGACAGGACCCGCCCCGAAUUUUCCAAAACCUGAGACGAAUCUUGUGGAAAUUCCCGACAUCACCCCGAUGUCGGGCCCACUUCUAAAACUAUAUCCUUUUUCCCAAAAAAGGAAUAAGAGUACUAGACUUUCUGCCGAAAUUUCGGCAGAGUCUCCCCUGUAAAUUGGACAUUUCCCAAAAUUUCAACUGCACAAAAAC